UGAACCCCCCCUCGGCCACAGGAGAGCUCACUUGGGUGGGGUAAAAAGAUGAAGGUUUUGGCGUAAGCCCCACUAAAAGGGCUCCUGAAUUCAGAUGAAGAUGUUCAUGAUGCUUUAUUUUGAUAAUUGAAUAACUGUUAGAGCAUUAGAGAUUAAGAGUGUUUGAUUUAGAUAUUAGAAGUGCUUUUGUGACCCAUAUUACCAUGAGUUACUUGUUUUGCUUUGAUUUAAUCUGAUUUGUUUCCUUUAUAUUGAUUUGCUUAAUUCUUUCAAUUUAAUUUUUAAGUUUAGGUUAUUUUGCAAUAAUUUCUGUAACCGUUAUGUUUGUGUGCAGGAAAGAUAAGGACCUUCUGUUCUUUUGACAGUUGACCUUUAUUUGACAUUGAUGUACGAAACCUAUAUGUUAUGCGGCGUGUGGGAGGCCUGUAUGCAAUGCGGAUGCGAAGCUUCCUGCUCCUUCGACGAAGCGAGGUGGCCUUUACUUCACACCUGGCUGGGGCAGAGGCGUAGGGGGCUAGAAUGGUGAAGAUUGUGGUUUCUAAGAAAGUGUUGCCUGUACUUGAAAAAAUGUGUGCUAUCUGUGACGUACUGAUCACUUUGCAUGUACCUGGGUGGAGUUCUGUGACCCUAGAUAAAUAUUGAAAAUUCCGCAUAAUAAUUCAGAUCCUGAUUUUUGGUUGGCAUUGGCCCUCCGGCUGUAACUCGGCUAAGGAGGUCAGAUCUCAAAUUCGGACUAGGCUGUGCUUUAUAGCUUUCCUGGUCACAGGGUAAUUUCUCCAAAAGGGUACUUGCAAGGUGAUUUGUCCUAAUUAUUUUUGUAUGAGCUUUCUGGUAAAAAUACAAUAAAAAGCAGAUAAAAUAAGACAAAGACAAAUCACUUGUUGGAAUCUUUUGUUGAGUCUUUCCCUCAAUUAUUAUAUAUAUAUAUAUAUAUAUUUACUACGAGCAAGUCAAGUCAUCCUAGUGAUAUGGAACUUUAAACUGGGGGCUGUGGAGAGGCUGUCCAUGUUAUACUCUGAUGUCCCCUGUAUCUUCGUAUACCAUUCAAUGUGUGUGGUUAUACUUUUUUGCCAUUUAAUCAGUGUUGAAUAUCAGAAAGUCCAUACUCUGAGCUUUGAAUGACAACACACAAGAAUUUACAAUAUUGUGAGAUGAAAAUUUAGACUGGGGUUGUAGAGAGGAGGAGUGGAGGAGGAGGCUUCAAUCCUUGUUUGUCAUACAAAAUACAGGUACA